rnacentral:rRNA from 1 species
GACGUAGGGCGCGAGCGUUGUCCGGAUUUUUUAUUUGGGCGUAAAGAGCUCGUAGGCGGCUUUGUCGCGUCGUCCGUGAAAACUUUGGGGCUCAACCCCAAGCUUGCGGUCGAUACGGGCAGGCUAGAGUUCGGUAGGGGAGACUGGAAUUCCUGGUGUAGCGGUGAAAUGCGCAGAUAUCAGGAGGAACACCGGUGGCGAAGGCGGGUCUCUGGGCAAUAACUGACGCUGAGGAGCGAAAGCGUGGGGAGCGAACAGG